AGAGUUUGAUCCUGGCUCAGGAUGAACGCUAGCGGCAGGCUUAACACAUGCAAGUCGAGGGGUAACAGGGAUUGCUUGCAAUCCGCUGACGACCGGCGCACGGGUGCGUAACGCGUAUGCAACCUACCUUCUACAGGGGGAUAGUCAAUAGAAAUGUUGAAUAAUACCCCAUACGAUCUUUGAAUAGCAUUAUUUAAAGAAGAAAGCUCCGGCGGUAGAAGAUGGGCAUGCGUCCUAUUAGUUAGUUGGUAAGGUAACGGCUUACCAAGACUACGAUAGGUAGGGGCCCUGAGAGGGGGAUCCCCCACACUGGUACUGAGACACGGACCAGACUCCUACGGGAGGCAGCAGUGAGGAAUAUUGGACAAUGGAGGCAACUCUGAUCCAGCCAUGCCGCGUGCAGGAAGACUGCCCUAUGGGUUGUAAACUGCUUUUAUACAGGAAGAAACACCUCUACGUGUAGAGGCUUGACGGUACUGUAAGAAUAAGGAUCGGCUAACUCCGUGCCAGCAGCCGCGGUAAUACGGAGGAUCCAAGCGUUAUCCGGAAUCAUUGGGUUUAAAGGGUCCGUAGGCGGUCUUUUAAGUCAGAGGUGAAAUCCUACAGCUCAACUGUAGAAUUGCCUUUGAUACUGAAAGACUUGAGUUAUUGUGAAGUAGUUAGAAUGUGUGGUGUAGCGGUGAAAUGCAUAGAGAUCACACAGAAUACCGAUUGCGAAGGCAGAUUACUAACAAUAUACUGACGCUGAGGGACGAAAGCGUGGGUAGCGAACAGGAUUAGAUACCCUGGUAGUCCACGCCGUAAACGAUGGUUACUAGCUGUUUGGACUUCGGUCUGAGUGGCUAAGCGAAAGUGAUAAGUAACCCACCUGGGGAGUACGUUCGCAAGAAUGAAACUCAAAGGAAUUGACGGGGGCCCGCACAAGCGGUGGAGCAUGUGGUUUAAUUCGAUGAUACGCGAGGAACCUUACCAGGGCUUAAAUGUAAGUUGCAUGAUUUAGAGAUAGAUCUUUCUUCGGACUACUUACAAGGUGCUGCAUGGUUGUCGUCAGCUCGUGCCGUGAGGUGUCAGGUUAAGUCCUAUAACGAGCGCAACCCCUGUCGUUAGUUGCCAGCAAGUUAAGUUGGGCACUCUAGCGAGACUGCCAGUGCAAACUGUGAGGAAGGUGGGGAUGACGUCAAAUCAUCACGGCCCUUACGUCCUGGGCUACACACGUGCUACAAUGGUCGGUACAGAGAGCAGCCACUACGCGAGUAGGAGCGAAUCUAUAAAACCGAUCUCAGUUCGGAUCGCAGUCUGCAACUCGACUGCGUGAAGCUGGAAUCGCUAGUAAUCGGAUAUCAGCCAUGAUCCGGUGAAUACGUUCCCGGGCCUUGUACACACCGCCCGUCAAGCCAUGGAAGCUGGGAGUGCCUGAAGUCGGUCACCGCAAGGAGCCGCCUAGGGUAAAACUGGUAACUAGGGCUAAGUCGUAACAAGGUAGCCGUACCGGAAGGUGCGGCUG
rnacentral:rRNA from 1 species